AGUGACUGUGGCAUUAACUCUCCAGGACAGACUGACCCAGAAGGCUGCAAGUGGCUGGGCCCACAUGCCCAGAGAUAGACGGAAGUGUGGGAGUGCACACGGGGCUCCAGAAAACGGCUCAGCAUGCCCAGGAGCAGAAAACACAGGCAGAGAGGUCAGGCACCAGGCUCAUUUCAGUGCGAGACCUACUGUAUAUUAACAGACGUGACGAACAUCAGUUUCUCCACUUCCCUCUGGCCCACUCUGCUCCUGCAUGAAGCGGACUGCGACCUUCUGGCUGCCGUGGGGGCAACUGCCACAUCCACACCAGGACGUGCAUGCUAACUGAGCACACACCUGCACUGUCUCCAACUGCUCUGCCAAGCGCCUCUGUGGUUGCUUUGUUGAGGCCUUCCGGCUGUCUCUGUAGCAUGGCACUCUUGUGAGUCCCUUGCUCUCUGGCACCGAAUGUGCCAGCCCCCUUUUCGUUCUGUUCUGAUUUGAGACCGGCUGUUUCUCCAGGGAGCCCUGACAUGACAACCUGUUUUUACCGCAGGUACCAUGAGCAACAGGCCUGUGAGGCCCAUUUGCCUGGACGAUGUUCUUUUACUUGAAAGCCCACCAGAGGAUCCACUGCUCUGCCUGGACCACCCAAUCCAGAACUGUGGCCGAUGCCUGAGUGGAGCUUCUCAUCUCACCCAAGGGGACUCGGCUCUGCCUGGGACUAUCAGGAAUUCCAGCUGGCGGCUUUAACGGGGCUUUUAUGAUCAAUUCUGCUCAACAGUUUGGGCCCCAAUUCGAUGAUAUUUAUUACUAACUAUAUUCACUUUUACUUGCUAUGAUAUACUUAAUAAACUCACUCAUUCAAA